UGUGGGCAUGUGAUGAAUCUCAUUUUUAUGGGUAAUAUGCGUCUGAAUUAGUAUAUCUUUGAUGCUUAAUCACCUUGGAGAACUGAUGCCCUGU